rnacentral:rRNA from 1 species
AGCGAACGCUGGCGGCAGGCCUAACACAUGCAAGUCGAACGAACCUUUCGGGGUUAGUGGCGGACGGGUGAGUAACACGUGGGAACGUGCCUUUAGGUUCGGAAUAACUCAGGGAAACUUGUGCUAAUACCGAAUGUGCCCUUCGGGGGAAAGAUUUAUCGCCUUAAGAGCGGCCCGCGUCAGAUUAGCUAGUUGGUUGAGGUAAUGGCUCACCAAGGCGACGAUCAGUAGCUGGUCUGAGAGGAUGAUCAGCCACAUUGGGACUGAGACACGGCCCAAACUCCUACGGGAGGCAGCAGUGGGGAAUCUUGCGCAAUGGGCGAAAGCCUGACGCAGCCAUGCCGCGUGAAUGAUGAAGGUCUUAGGAUUGUAAAAUUCUUUCACCGGGGACGAUAAUGACGGUACCCGGAGAAGAAGCCCCGGCUAACUUCGUG